CUUUGCCCCUUUGCUUCUCGAGAGAUUUCCCCCCAGGAGCUCCAGAGAAGACACAACCUUUUCUUUCAGAAAGGGGCACAUAGCCCCUCAGGACUGUGUCGAGGCUCUCCUGCUCCCCCAGAUCUCACUGGAGCUGUGCCUGCAGAGAACCAAGGUUACAGCGCUCCCCACACUUUCCNNNNNNNNNNNNNNNNNNNNNNNNNNNNNNNNNNNNNNNNNNNNNNNNNNCCCCCCUCCCCCGCCAUGCAGGGGCCCGCCCAUGAUUUGCACCCUGAUGUCACCUGAUGGCAGGGUAUAUCUGGAGGAGAAAGAACACCUCGAGACCCUUUCUACACAGGCUGGAGGACUGGAGUUGAAUGAUUUGCAAGAGGAGCCCUUAGCACUCUGGCUUAGACUGCAUGUGAGCAGUGCCAGGGGGCUCCUGAAGAGCGUUCAGGACAGGCAGCUAGUGUCUCCUGCACCGGUGCCCAACCAUACAUGCAGGGCACAUCAGUGGGGAGUUUGUAGUGUGAUGCUGUACCUCUGGUAUUACUGGAUACUUUCUUUCAACUGGGAUAGUCUUUCCAAUGAUCCCCAUCUGGGAAGCAGUUGCAGGAAUUUAGUUCUACUUGAAAUGAGCUUCUGUCUUUUGGAGCCUGGCAGUACAGCCAUCAGCUCUUACCCAGGAGCUGCAUCCCAGUGUCAGCGGCAGCAGAAGAGCUCUGGCAGCCCAGGAAGCCCUGGGGGGAGGCAGCAUAGCACUUACAGAGAUCUAGAGAAGGAGACUCAGUCUCAUCAAACGUUUUUCAAGCCAUUUGUUUGGUGUGGUACCAAGGACCAUCCAAAUAACCAGGUAUGGAGGGGUGAAAGGCUGGGAAAUUCCCCUGGGAAGCUGCUAUGGGCAUUUUGUUUGCAUCUGUGAUCCUGGGCUGCCUGCCCACCCAUGUCUGGCUGUGUGCGGGGGCAGCUGGUUCCCAAGGUGUGAGAACUGAGGCAGCUCCCGUGCUGUGGGACAGAGCCCUCUCCACCAUUAACAUCUUUGCCUGUGUGUGAUGGCAAGCAAGUCCCACCAGCUCAGUGGUGGGAGGGCAGCUUGAUUCCUGCUGCAAGAUGGAGGUUGUUAUGUGACAUUAAGGUUGCUUUCCAUCCUACAUCAUUCUGUUGGUGAUGCAUGGGGAAAAUAGGUACUGGGAGGUUGGUAAGGAAGCAGUUACAGUUGUCCCUUUUAGUUGCAUUGAAUGUUCUUUCUUGAAUUCAUGCAUAUGAGAGAGAGGAUGAAGUGUGAUUUGGGUAGGUACUUUUUCCUACCAGAUCCUGGGUUAUCAAGUAUCUGGUAGGUGGAUAAAACUACUUCAGACUGGGGGAAAAGGAAACUCCAAGGACUGUCUUCCCAUUAGCUACUUCUCUAUUGAGUGAAGGCCAGGGUCAAGGCAUGGACUCAAAGAACUAAGAGGAGUUGACCCUCAAAGACGUUUUUGUGGUUAAAGUACUGUGCUGGCAGACAUCAGUCAUUGGUGAAGUAGGGCAGGAGCUCACUUGGAGAUGGAGCUCAAAGGCAUCUUACAAGUGUUGUAUGUCAGUCCAAAGAGUUGGAAAUCUGUUAGCCGGUUUGUUUCUUCUGUUGUACUUUUGCGUAUAGCCCUUGAGAGGAGUGCCACGUAUCCUGACUUGUCAAAUAAACACGGUGCUUUAGUGGAUGUGUGUCUCUCA
rnacentral:lncRNA from 1 species